GACGAACGCUGGCGGCGUGCCUAAUACAUGCAAGUAGGACGCAGUUGCGAACGGGUGAGUAACGCGUAGGUCACUACCUAUUAGAGGGGGAUAAAUAUUGGAAACGAUAGCUAAUACCGCAUACUAGUAGAUGGACCUGCGUUGUAUUAGCUAGUAGGUAGGGUAAUGGCCUACCUAGGCAACGAUACAUAACCGACCGGAGAGGGGGAGCGGCCACACUGGGACUGAGACACGGCCCAGACUCCUACGGGAGGAAGCAGUAGGGAAUCUUCGGAAAUGGACGAAAGUCUGACCGAGCAACGCGGCUGGAGGGAAGAAGGUUUUCGGACCGUAAAACUCUGUUGUUAGAGAAGCGGUAUCUAACCAGAAAGCCACGGCUAACUACGUGCCAGCAGCCGCGGUAAUUC
rnacentral:rRNA from 1 species